rnacentral:rRNA from 1 species
GUCCUUUAGGACAAUGGUAGGAGAGCGUUCUAAGGGCGUUGAAGCAUGAUCGCAAGGACAUGUGGAGCGCUUAGAAGUGAGAAUGCCGGUGUGAGUAGCGCAAGACGGGUGAGAAUCCCGUCCACCGAUUGACUAAGGUUUCCAGAGGAAGGCUCGUCCGCUCUGGGUUAGUCGGGUCCUAAGCUGAGGCCGACAGGCGAAAGCGAUGGAUAACAGGUUGACAUUCCU